AUUGAACGCUAGCGGGAUGCUUUACACAUGCAAGUCGAACGGCAGCGCGGACUUCGGUCUGGCGGCGAGUGGCGAACGGGUGAGAAUGUAUCGGAACGUGCCCAGUAGCGGGGGAUAACUACGCGAAAGCGUAGCUAAUACCGCAUACGCCCUACGGGGGAAAGCAGGGGAUCGUAAGACCUUGCACUAUUGGAGCGGCCGAUAUCGGAUUAGCUAGUUGGUGAGGUAACGGCUCACCAAGGCGACGAUCCGUAGCUGGUUUGAGAGGACGACCAGCCACACUGGGACUGAGACACGGCCCAGACUCCUACGGGAGGCAGCAGUGGGGAAUUUUGGACAAAGGGGGCAACCCUGAUCCAGCCAUCCCGCGUGUGCGAUGAAGGCCUUCGGGUUGUAAAGCACUUUUGGCAGGAAAGAAACGUCGCGGGCUAAUACCCCGUGGAACUGACGGUACCUGCAGAAUAAGCACCGGCUAACUACGUG
rnacentral:rRNA from 1 species